UUUCGAAACUUGAAACACCAAAGCGCUUUCCUUUGCUGGUCCUAGAAUUUUGUGCUUACUGACCAUAAACUAAUGUCCUUAGAUUGACUCGGUGCUCUCUCUUCACUUCCCCAACAAAGAACCUUCACCUCAUCACCAAGUUUUUCCUUUUGUUUUCUUAGCUCCUCCUCCCUCCUCGAGCUUUCUUUAUUUACUGUUUGAUUUCAACUAUUUCUUUGAUCAGACCUCUCUAAGCUAUAGAAAUGAAGAAAGCUGGGUUGAAAUUGGGUUUUCACGAUGACAAAGCCAAGAAAAAAGCCAUGAAGACAGUCUCUAGUCUUUCAGGGGACGUUAAUCCCAUAGUGGCCAAAUCGAGAAAGUUGUGCGGCGCAGAAAUAGUUACAGCAGGACCAGCAAAAGAGCCUGGAAAGAGAAAAGACGAGCCCAAGAAAGAACAGUAAAAGAAGCAAGAAGAUCAGAAGAUAGCAGAUCAUGUAGCUAAGCUAGUCAAGGCUUACCAGGCCUAUAACCCUCGUAUGACCACCUAGUAGUAUGUUAGAAGUGCAGAUGAAAACCCAGAUGCUUGUGUCAUCUGUUAGUUUGUAAAUUACAUGUUAAAAAGAUGCUUGUGUCAUCUCUAUAUCUAUAUUAUCUUCAUUUUUAACACCUUGUUAAGUAUAUUUAAGUAAAAUAUAUUAGAAUGUUUA